CGCUGGCGGCAGGCCUAACACAUGCAAGUCGAGCGGAUGAAAGGAGCUUGCUCCUGGAUUCAGCGGCGGACGGGUGAGUAAUGCCUAGGAAUCUGCCUGGUAGUGGGGGACAACGUUUCGAAAGGAACGCUAAUACCGCAUACGUCCUACGGGAGAAAGCAGGGGACCUUCGGGCCUUGCGCUAUCAGAUGAGCCUAGGUCGGAUUAGCUAGUUGGUGAGGUAAUGGCUCACCAGGGCGACGAUCCGUAACUGGUCUGAGAGGAUGAUCAGUCACACUGGAACUGAGACACGGUCCAGACUCCUACGGGAGGCAGCAGUGGGGAGUAUUGGACAAUGGGCGAAAGCCUGAUCCAGCCAUGCCGCGUGUGUGAAGAAGGUCUUCGGAUUGUAAAGCACUUUAAGUUGGGAGGAAGGGUUGUAGAUUAAUACUCUGCAAUUUUGACGUUACCGACAGAAUAAGCACCGGCU
rnacentral:rRNA from 1 species